rnacentral:rRNA from 1 species
UUGUAGUCUGCAACCCGACUACAUGAAGCCGGAAUCGCUAGUAAUCGCGGAUCAGAAUGCCGCGGUGAAUACGUUCCCGGGUCUUGUACACACCGCCCGUCACACCAUGAGAGUCGGGAACACCCGAAGUCCGUAGCCUAACCGCGAAGGGGGGCGCGGCCGAAGGUGGGUUCGAUAAUUGGGGUGAAGUCGUAACAAGGUAUC